CUUCAGCAAGACCACGGCGUUUGCUCUGGGCAUUGAAUGACAAGAUGAUUUGAAAUACGCAGAGAAGCUGGAGGCUGCUUAAGGAAAAGUAUGAGCCAAGUUUCCAAAUCUGGAAAGCACAGCCGGUCAUCGGCUCUUCCCAGAGCCUGGCCAAUGCUUCGCUGAGAAGGCCUCGCAGCAGCCCCCGAGGAUGAAGGAGUAUCCCAGUUGCGUCUUCUGAAGCUGAGUCUCCUGUUUUAUGCCUAGGCCUUGGACACUUUCACCUGUUUCUGCGGAGAAACUGAGUAAUUG
rnacentral:lncRNA from 1 species